AUGAACGCUGGCGGCGUGCCUAAUACAUGCCCGUCGAGCGAACAGACGAGAGUGCUUGCACUCUCUGACGUUAGCGGCGGACGGGUGAGUAACACGUGGGUAACCUACCUAUAAGACUGGGAUAACUUCGGGAAACCGGAGCUAAUACCGGAUAAUAUUUAGCUUCGCAUGAAGCAAUAGUGAAAGACGGUUCUGCUGUCACUUAUAGAUGGACCCGCGGUGUAUUAGCUAGUUGGUGAGGUAACGGCUCACCAAGGCAACGAUACAUAGCCGACCUGAGAGGGUGAUCGGUCACACUGGGACUGAGACACGGACCAGACUCCUACGGGAGGCAGCAGUAGGGAAUCUUCCGCAAUGGACGAAAGUCUGACGGAGCAAUGCCGCGUGAGUGAAGAAGGUUUUCGGAUCGUAAAACUCUGUUGUAAGGGAAGAACAAGUACGUUAGUAACUGAACGUACCUUGACGGUACCUUACCAGAAAGCCACGGCUAACUACGUG
rnacentral:rRNA from 1 species